CUAUGGCUUGAAUUAGUCAUGGCGGAAGGAG
ncrna:unclassified sequences L31-Firmicutes ribosomal protein leader